ACUCCUACGGGAGGCAGCAGUGGGGAAUAUUGCACAAUGGGCGCAAGCCUGAUGCAGCCAUGCCGCGUGUGUGAAGAAGGCCUUCGGGUUGUAAAGCACUUUCAGUUGUGAGGAAGGUGGUGUCGUUAAUAGCGGCAUCAUUUGACGUUAGCAACAGAAGAAGCACCGGCUAACUCCGUGCCAGCAGCCGCGGUAAUACGGAGGGGUGCGAGCGUUAAUCGGAAUUACUGGGCGUAAAGCGCAUGCAGGUGGUUUGUUAAGUCAGAUGUGAAAGCCCGGGGCUCAACCUCGGAACUGCAUUUGAAACUGGCAGACUAGAGUACUGUAGAGGGGGUA
rnacentral:rRNA from 1 species